rnacentral:precursor_RNA from 1 species
CACAGAGUGUAUCAAGCAACGGAUACGUUGCUUGAUACACUCUGUGCC